rnacentral:rRNA from 1 species
UACGUAGGGACCGAGCGUUGUCCGGAAUCAUUGGGCGUAAAGAGCGUGUAGGCGGCCAUUUAAGUCCUGCGUGAAAUCCUGCGGCUCAACCGCAGGCGGUCGUGGGAAACUGGAUGGCUAGAGUGCGGGAGAGGAGAGUGGAAUUCCUGGUGUAGCGGUGGAAUGCGCAGAUAUCAGGAGGAACACCAAUUGCGAAGGCAGCUCGCUGGGACGUUACUGACGCUGAGACGCGAAAGCGUGGGGAGCAAACAGG